rnacentral:rRNA from 1 species
GGGUUGUGAGGUUAAGCGACUAAGCGUACACGGUGGAUGCCCUGGCAGUCAGAGGCGAUGAAGGACGUGCUAAUCUGCGAUAAGCGUCGGUAAGGUGAUAUGAACCGUUAUAACCGGCGAUUUCCGAAUGGGGAAACCCAGUGUGUUUCGACACACUAUCAUUAACUGAAUCCAUAGGUUAAUGAGGCGAACCGGGGGAACUGAAACAUCUAAGUACCCCGAGGAAAAGAAAUCAACCGAGAUUCCCCCAGUAGCGGCGAGCGAACGGGGAGCAGCCCAGAGCCUGAAUCAGUGUGUGUGUUAGUGGAAGCGUCUGGAAAGGCGCGCGAUACAGGGUGACAGCCCCGUACACAAAAAUGCACAUACUGUGAGCUCGAUGAGUAGGGCGGGACACGUGGUAUCCUGUCUGAAUAUGGGGGACCAUCCUCCAAGGCUAAAUACUCCUGACUGACCGAUAGUGAACCAGUACCGUGAGGGAAAGGCGAAAAGAACCCCGGCGAGGGGAGUGAAAAAGAACCUGAAACCGUGUACGUACAAGCAGUGGGAGCCUCUUUUAUGGGGUGACUGCGUACCUUUUGUAUAAUGGGUCAGCGACUUAUAUUCUGUAGCAAGGUUAACCGAAUAGGGGAGCCGAAGGGAAACCGAGUCUUAACCGGGCGUUAAGUUGCAGGGUAUAGACCCGAAACCCGGUGAUCUAGCCAUGGGCAGGUUGAAGGUUGGGUAACACUAACUGGAGGACCGAACCGACUAAUGUUGAAAAAUUAGCGGAUGACUUGUGGCUGGGGGUGAAAGGCCAAUCAAACCGGGAGAUAGCUGGUUCUCCCCGAAAGCUAUUUAGGUAGCGCCUCGUGAAUUCAUCUCCGGGGGUAGAGCACUGUUUCGGCAAGGGGGUCAUCCCGACUUACCAACCCGAUGCAAACUGCGAAUACCGGAGAAUGUUAUCACGGGAGACACACGGCGGGUGCUAACGUCCGUCGUGAAGAGGGAAACAACCCAGACCGCCAGCUAAGGUCCCAAAGUCAUGGUUAAGUGGGAAACGAUGUGGGAAGGCCCAGACAGCCAGGAUGUUGGCUUAGAAGCAGCCAUCAUUUAAAGAAAGCGUAAUAGCUCACUGGUCGAGUCGGCCUGCGCGGAAGAUGUAACGGGCUAAACCAUGCACCGAAGCUGCGGCAGCGACACUGUGUGUUGUUGGGUAGGGGAGCGUUCUGUAAGCCUGUGAAGGUGUACUGUAAGGUAUGCUGGAGGUAUCAGAAGUGCGAAUGCUGACAUAAGUAACGAUAAAGCGGGUGAAAAGCCCGCUCGCCGGAAGACCAAGGGUUCCUGUCCAACGUUAAUCGGGGCAGGGUGAGUCGACCCCUAAGGCGAGGCCGAAAGGCGUAGUCGAUGGGAAACAGGUUAAUAUUCCUGUACUUGGUGUUACUGCGAAGGGGGACGGAGAAGGCUAUGUUGGCCGGGCGACGGUUGUCCCGGUUUAAGCGUGUAGGCUGGUUUUCCAGGCAAAUCCGGAAAAUCAAGGCUGAGGCGUGAUGACGAGGCACUACGGUGCUGAAGCAACAAAUGCCCUGCUUCCAGGAAAAGCCUCUAAGCAUCAGGUAACAUCAAAUCGUACCCCAAACCGACACAGGUGGUCAGGUAGAGAAUACCAAGGCGCUUGAGAGAACUCGGGUGAAGGAACUAGGCAAAAUGGUGCCGUAACUUCGGGAGAAGGCACGCUGAUAUGUAGGUGAAGUCCCUCGCGGAUGGAGCUGAAAUCAGUCGAAGAUACCAGCUGGCUGCAACUGUUUAUUAAAAACACAGCACUGUGCAAACACGAAAGUGGACGUAUACGGUGUGACGCCUGCCCGGUGCCGGAAGGUUAAUUGAUGGGGUCAGCGCAAGCGAAGCUCUUGAUCGAAGCCCCGGUAAACGGCGGCCGUAACUAUAACGGUCCUAAGGUAGCGAAAUUCCUUGUCGGGUAAGUUCCGACCUGCACGAAUGGCGUAAUGAUGGCCAGGCUGUCUCCACCCGAGACUCAGUGAAAUUGAACUCGCUGUGAAGAUGCAGUGUACCCGCGGCAAGACGGAAAGACCCGUGAACCUUUACUAUAGCUUGACACUGAACAUUGAGCCUUGAUGUGUAGGAUAGGUGGGAGGCUUUGAAGUGUGGACGCCAGUCUGCAUGGAGCCGACCUUGAAAUACCACCCUUUAAUGUUUGAUGUUCUAACGUGGACCCGUGAUCCGGGUUGCGGACAGUGUCUGGUGGGUAGUUUGACUGGGGCGGUCUCCUCCUAAAGAGUAACGGAGGAGCACGAAGGUUGGCUAAUCCUGGUCGGACAUCAGGAGGUUAGUGCAAUGGCAUAAGCCAGCUUGACUGCGAGCGUGACGGCGCGAGCAGGUGCGAAAGCAGGUCAUAGUGAUCCGGUGGUUCUGAAUGGAAGGGCCAUCGCUCAACGGAUAAAAGGUACUCCGGGGAUAACAGGCUGAUACCGCCCAAGAGUUCAUAUCGACGGCGGUGUUUGGCACCUCGAUGUCGGCUCAUCACAUCCUGGGGCUGAAGUAGGUCCCAAGGGUAUGGCUGUUCGCCAUUUAAAGUGGUACGCGAGCUGGGUUUAGAACGUCGUGAGACAGUUCGGUCCCUAUCUGCCGUGGGCGCUGGAGAACUGAGGGGGGCUGCUCCUAGUACGAGAGGACCGGAGUGGACGCAUCACUGGUGUUCGGGUUGUCAUGCCAAUGGCACUGCCCGGUAGCUAAAUGCGGAAGAGAUAAGUGCUGAAAGCAUCUAAGCACGAAACUUGCCCCGAGAUGAGUUCUCCCUGACCCUUUAAGGGUCCUGAAGGAACGUUGAAGACGACGACGUUGAUAGGCCGGGUGUGUAAGCGCAGCGAUGCGUUGAGCUAACCGGUACUAAUGAACCGUGAGGCUUAACCUUACAACGCCGAAGGUGUUU